rnacentral:rRNA from 1 species
GAUGAACGCUGGCGGCGUGCCUAAUACAUGCCAGUCGAGCGAACAGACGAGGAGCUUGCUCCUCUGACGUUAGCGGCGGACGGGUGAGUAACACGUGGAUAACCUACCUAUAAGACUGGGAUAACUUCGGGAAACCGGAGCUAAUACCGGAUAAUAUAUUGAACCGCAUGGUUCAAUAGUGAAAGACGGUUUUGCUGUCACUUAUAGAUGGAUCCGCGCCGCAUUAGCUAGUUGGUAAGGUAACGGCUUACCAAGGCGACGAUGCGUAGCCGACCUGAGAGGGUGGUCGGCCACACUGGAACUGAGACACGGUCCAGACUCCUACGGGAGGCAGCAGUAGGGAAUCUUCCGCAAUGGGCGAAAGCCUGACGGAGCAACGCCGCGUGAGUGAUGAAGGUCUUCGGAUCGUAAAACUCUGUUAUUAGGGAAGAACAAAUGUGUAAGUAACUAUGCACGUCUUGACGGUACCUAAUCAGAAAGCCACGGCUAACUACGUG